UACAGAGGGGGCAAGCGUUGUUCGGAAUUACUGGGCGUAAAGGGCGCGUAGGCGGCCUGUUAAGUCGAACGUGAAAUCCCCGGGCUCAACCCGGGAACUGCGUCCGAUACUGGCAGGCUUGAAUCCGGGAGAGGGAUGCGGAAUUCCAGGUGUAGCGGUGAAAUGCGUAGAUAUCUGGAGGAACACCGGUGGCGAAGGCGGGUCUCUGGCCGAUGACUGACGCUGAGGAGCGAAAGCGUGGGGAGCGAACAGG
rnacentral:rRNA from 1 species